rnacentral:RNase_P_RNA from 1 species
GUGCAGAUCAGGGGACCGCCGGGUCUCCUCGGAGACCGGGAGGAACGUCCGGACACCACAGAGCAGCGUGCUAGGUAACGCCUAGGCGGGGUAACCCGACGGCAGAGCGCCACAGAAAAUAGACCGCCCAGCCUCGGUUGGGUAAGGGUGAAACGGUGCGGUAAGAGCGCACCAGCGGCUCCGGUGACGGAGUCGGCUUGGCAAGCCCCACGCGGUGCAACGCCAAACAGGGAUGAUGAUGCGGCUCGCAGAAUCCCGGGUAGGCGGCUCGAGCGGCCCGGUAACGGGUCGCCUAGAUAGAUGGUCCCCCUCGACAGAAUCCGGCGUAUCGAUCUGCAACCGCG